UUUUUUUUUCUUUUUUCUUUUUUACAAUCAGGACAUAUAAUUCUACCUUCUCUGCACUUAGGUGACAAAAUGAAACAUAGCAUAAAAAUUGCUGACAUGGCAUCGACGUCAAUAUGCCACAUCAGCACCACAUCAUACAUGACGUCACGUCACCAUGCCACAUCAUACACGGGUGCCACAUCAGUAUGUCACUCAGUGCCACAUCAUGCAUAGCACCACAUUAGCAUUCCACGUUAACAUCGUUAGCAAUUUGUUCUUACAAUGCAAACGGAGCCAAAAUUCCUAUCCUUAAUUACAACAAAACAAAGUGCAUGUCCU
rnacentral:misc_RNA from 1 species